rnacentral:misc_RNA from 1 species
UCUGAGCAGGAAAGUAAAGAUCAGGAUCGUACUGAAUAUACUUGGGUUCGCUGGAAGUGGAUACAGAAUAUGCAGUUCUUGAAUAACUUGAAACAGGAUCGUAAGCAACGAAAAGAGGAAUCGGAUCAUAGGCAAAAAUUUGGNAUUGGACUUGUAGCUGGAAUAAGCCAUUGAAUCUUGAACUGCAGCAGAAUCAUAACUACUAGAGUAAUGGGUUAAAGGGUAAUCACCAUCGUACUCACCAUGAUCAUCCAUAUAAUAGCUAGAGCUGUAGUAAGCCAUUGUGUAUCAAUCUAGCUUCUAAUUUCUCGUCAAGAAGCAAGACACUUGAGAAAUCAAAAAGAUGAAUAAAGCAGUUACUUGCACAUCUGAACUUG